rnacentral:rRNA from 1 species
CCGCGAUUCGCCCUUCGGGGUGCAGCAGGCGCGAAAACUUUACAAUGCCGGCAACGGCGAUAAGGGAACCUCGAGUGCCAGGUUACAAAUCUGGCUGUCGUGAUGCCUAAAAAGCAUUGCAUAGCAAGGGCCGGGCAAGACCGGUGCCAGCCGCCGCGGUAACACCGGCGGCUCGAGUGGUAACCGUUAUUAUUGGGUCUAAAGGGUCUGUAGCCGGCCGGGUAAGUCUCUUGGGAAAUCUGGCAGCUUAACUGUCAGGCUUUCAGGAGAUACUGCCUGGCUCGAGGCCGGGAGAGGUGAGAGGUACUUCAGGGGUAGGGGUGAAAUCUUGUAAUCCUUGAAGGACCACCAGUGGCGAAGGCGUCUCACCAGAACGGACCUGACGGCAAGGGACGAAAGCUAGGGGCACGAACCGGAUUAGAUACCCGGGUAGUCCUAGCCGUAAACGAUACUCGCUAGGUGUCGGCCACGGUGCGACCGUGGUCGGUGCCGUAGGGAAGCCGUGAAGCGAGCCACCUGGGAAGUACGGCCGCAAGGCUGAAACUUAAAGGAAUUGGCGGGGGAGCAC